CACCUUUUCCCCAGCAGAGUGCGCCGUGGGUUCUCUGGGCUGGAGCUCACCAGCACACCUGGAGCUCGUCAGCCCAUUAGAGGACCCCUCUACUUAAGCAGAUGCCAGACCUUUCUUCGACGCCGCAGUGUUAGCUAAGUUUGGAAAACCUGUCUCUCGUGUGAAGCUCUGGGAGAGCUUAACCUGAAUCUGCCUGCCUGCCCUAGAGAGCCAAACCUGAAGAUCUCACUUUGGAAUCCACCUGCUGCUCUCGGAAGGAGAGCUAACCCCUCAAUCCAAGGUCUGAUCCAACAGUCAGAAGUUAGACGCUGCACCUGCUGAGCACUCUGUCAAACCAACAGUCUCUGGACCCAACCGGUUCCCCCCCUCUGAGAAGAAAGCCUGAAGCUCUCCAAGAUGCCUGAGAAUCCAGCCCGAAC